rnacentral:rRNA from 1 species
GCGUAAGCGCACGCAGGCGGUCUGUCAAGUCGGAUGUGAAAUCCCCGGGCUCAACCUGGGAACUGCAUUCGAAACUGGCAGGCUAGAGUCUUGUAGAGGGGGGUAGAAUUCCAGGUGUAGCGGUGAAAUGCGUAGAGAUCUGGAGGAAUACCGGUGGCGAAGGCGGCCCCCUGGACAAAGACUGACGCUCAGGUGCGAAAGCGUGGGGAGCAAACAGGAUUAGAUACCCUGGUAGUCCACGCCGUAAACGAUGUCGACUUGGAGGUUGUGCCCUUGAGGCGUGGCUUCCGGAGCUAACGCGUUAAGUCGACCGCCUGGGGAGUACGGCCGCAAGGUUAAAACUCAAAUGAAUUGACGGGGGCCCGCACAAGCGGUGGAGCAUGUGGUUUAAUUCGAUGCAACGCGAAGAACCUUACCUACUCUUGACAUCCAGAGAACUUUCCAGAGAUGCAUUGGUGCCUUCGGGAACUCUGAGACAGGUGCUGCAUGGCUGUCGUCAGCUCGUGUUGUGAAAUGUUGGGUUAAGUCCCGCAACGAGCGCAACCCUUAUCCUUUGUUGCCAGCGGUUAGGCCGGGAACUCACAGGAGACU